ACCUCAGUACGCAAUUUGGCAAAGCGGCUACAUUUAGGAUGUAGUGAUUUAUUUGUGGGUUCGACUCCCAUCUGAGGUA
rnacentral:tRNA from 1 species